UACGUAGGUGGCAAGCGUUGUCCGGAUUUACUGGGCGUAAAGAGCGCGCAGGCGGUCGUUCAAGUCGCGUGUGAAAGCCCCCGGCUCAACUGGGGAGGGUCACGCGAUACUGAUCGACUCGAAGGCAGGAGAGGGGUAGUGGGAAAUUCCCCGGUGUAGCGGUGAAAUGCGCAGAUAAUCAGGAGGAACACCGGUGGCGAAGGCGGGUCUCUGGGAAGUAAACUGACGCUGAGAAGCGAAAGCGUGGGGUAGUGAACAGGA
rnacentral:rRNA from 1 species